UACACUCCUACGGGAGGCAGCAGUGGGGAAUAUUGGACAAUGGGCGCAAGCCUGAUCCAGCCAUGCCGCGUGAGUGAUGAAGGCCCUAGGGUUGUAAAGCUCUUUCACCGGUGAAGAUAAUGACGGUAACCGGAGAAGAAGCCCCGGCUAACUUCGUGCCAGCAGCCGCGGUAAUACGAAGGGGGCUAGCGUUGUUCGGAUUUACUGGGCGUAAAGCGCACGUAGGCGGACUAUUAAGUCAGGGGUGAAAUCCCGGGGCUCAACCCCGGAACUGCCUUUGAUACUGGUAGUCUUGAGUUCGAGAGAGGUGAGUGGAAUUCCGAGUGCAGAGGCGAAAUUCGUAGAUAUUCGGAGGAACACCAGUGGCGAAGGCGGCUCACUGGCUCGAUACUGACGCUGAGGUGCGAAAGCGUGGGGAGCAAACAGGAUUAGAAACCCCGGUAGUCCCA
rnacentral:rRNA from 1 species